GCGCUUACACAUGCAAGUCGAACGAGAGGCCGUAGCAAUACGGUCGUACAGUGGCGAACGGGUGAGGAAGACGUGGGUAACCUACCCUCGAGUGGGGAAUAACCCGCCGAAAGGCGGGCUAAUACCGCGUACGCUUCUGUUCCUUCGGGGACGGAAGGAAAGCUGUGCCGUGGGCAUGGCGCUCAAGGAUGGGCUCACGCCCUAUCAGCUUGUUGGUAGGGUAACGGCCUACCAAGGCAACGACGGGUAGCUGGUCUGAGAGGACGAUCAGCCACACUGGCACUGCGACACGGGCCAGACUCCUACGGGAGGCAGCAGUGAGGAAUAUUGCGCAAUGGGCGAAAGCCUGACGCAGCGACGCCGCGUGGGGGAUGAAGGUCUUCGGAUUGUAAACCCCUUUCAGGAGGGAAGAUGGAACGGGCAACCGUUCGGACGGUACCUCCAGAAGCAGCCACGGCUAACUUCGUGCCAGCAGCCGCGGUAAUACGAAGGUGGCAAGCGUUGUUCGGAUUUACUGGGCGUAAAGGGAGCGUAGGCGGUUGGGUAAGCCCUUUGGGAAAGCUCCCGGCUUAACCGGGAAAGGUCGAAGGGGACUGCCUGGCUAGAGGGUGGGAGAGGAGCGCGGAAUUCCCGGUGUAGCGGUGAAAUGCGUAGAGAUCGGGGAGGAAGGCCGGUGGCGAAGGCGGCGCUCUGGAACAUUUCUGACGCUGAGGCUCGAAAGCGUGGGG
rnacentral:rRNA from 1 species